rnacentral:rRNA from 1 species
AGGUUUGAUCAUGGGGGCUCAGAAUGAACGUUGGCGGCGUGGAUUAGGCAUGCAAGUCGAGCGAGAAUCUGUGAGUGGAGGCUUCGGCCAAAGCGAUCAGAGGACAGCGGCAAACGGGGUAGUAUGGCGUAGUUUACGUACCCUCCAGCGCCGGGAUAGCUACGGGAAACUGUAGGUAAUACCGGAUAAUCUCUCCGGAGCAAAUGGUGUGAUUCCGCCUGAGGAGCGGCUUACGUGAUACCAGCUUGUUGGUGAGGUAACGGCUCACCAAGGCUAAGACGUCUAGGGGGUGUGAGAGCAUGGCCCCCACCACUGGGACUGAGACACUGCCCAGACACCUACGGGUGGCUGCAGUCGANAAUCUUCCCNAAUGGGCGCAGCCUGACGGAACCACCCCCCUGG